rnacentral:misc_RNA from 1 species
AACUUUUGACAAUGGAUCUCUUGGCUCUCGCAUCGAUGAAGAACGCCGCGAAAUGCGAUAAGUAAUGUGAAUUGCAGAAUUCAGUGAAUCAUCGAAUUUUUGAACGCACCUUGCGCUCCCUGGUAUUCCGGGGAGCACGCCUGUUCGAGUGUCGUGAAAUUCUCAAACUGAGAUGCUUUUUUGUUUCUCGGCUUGUUGUUGGGCUUUGCAGUCCCGUUUGAAUGGGAUGGCUGGCCUCAAAAGCAGUAGCUGGCUUUUCAUGUGGCAUUGGGUCUACUCAGCGUGAUAAUGAUCUGACCGCCGAGGACAUCUUUAGAGAUGGCCAAUUCUCAUUUGGGCUGCUUCUAAUCUUGGUAGAGCAGAUUCUGAAUCUGUUCCACUUUUCAACUUUUGACCUCGAAUCAGGUGGGACUACCCGCUGAACUUAAGCAUAUCAAUAAGCGGAGGCU